GGGUCGUUAGCUCAGUUGGUAGAGCAGUUGACUUUUAAUCAAUUGGUCGUGCAGGUUCGAAUCCUGCACGACCCACCA
rnacentral:tRNA from 1 species